UCAGCUUUGUAAACACCUAUAUGCCUAGAAUGGACUCCAAAACAGAUUAUUAAAGUUUAACCAGUAUAAUCUUGAAUAUGGACAAAAAGUAUACACUUGGAACACAAACAAAAACAGAUGAGUCCAUGCCAAGCUAAAGAUUAAUGCAGAAGAUAAAAGAGAACUGGAGAAGAAUGAAUUGAUGUUAACAUACUCAACAUUAAAUUUGGCUUAAAUCUAAA